rnacentral:rRNA from 1 species
CGCGGGGGCAACCCUGGCGACGAGAGGCGGACGGGUGAGUAACGCUUGGGAAUCUGCCCAUCAGCGGGGGACAACCCGGGGAAACUCGGGCUAAUACCGCAUACGCUCUACGGAGGAAAGCCGGGGACCGCAAGGCCUGGCACUGACGGAUGAGCCCAAGCCGGAUUAGCUAGUUGGCGGGGUAACGGCCCACCAAGGCGACGAUCCGUAGCUGGUCUGAGAGGACGAUCAGCCACACCGGAACUGAGACACGGUCCGGACUCCUACGGGAGGCAGCAGUGGGGAAUAUUGGACAAUGGGGGAAACCCUGAUCCAGCGACGCCGCGUGGGUGAAGAAGGCCUGCGGG